AUGGCUGAGUCAUUGCAAAUAGUGAAUCUGUUUCCCUAAAUUAAGUAUUCUCACACCUUGUCAUCUGUCUAAAUGGGCCAUCUUGAUUAUCACUACAAAAGUUUUAUUUCUCCUGCUGAAAAUAGCUCAUCUUAACUAAUUAGCCUCUUACAGUUUGUAUAGUAACUUCCCAC